rnacentral:rRNA from 1 species
UACGAAGGGGGCUAGCGUUGCUCGGAAUCACUGGGCGUAAAGGGUGCGUAGGCGGGUCUUUAAGUCAGGGGUGAAAUCCUGGAGCUCAACUCCAGAACUGCCUUUGAUACUGAGGAUCUUGAGUCCGGGAGGGGUGAGUGGAACUGCGAGUGUAGAGGUGAAAUUCGUAGAUAUUCGCAAGAACACCAGUGGCGAAGGCGGCUCACUGGCCCGGUACUGACGCUGAGGCACGAAAGCGUGGGGAGCAAACAGG